UCAAUUCCCAAAGCAGGACGGGCACGAGGGUGCCUGUGCUGUACAUGAACUUGAAUGCCAGUCACGCUACAGUGUCGUCUAUAGAGACACACUGCCAUACAUCUCCACUGCUCAGUGUAUUUCCACUGUCAUACAUCUACAGGACUCCCUGGCGGCAGAAUAAGAGCCCAUUCAUUCAUCUGAAGAGGAAAGACCACAGAAGACUCAGAGAGAUAUAACUUGAGACAGUGUCAUAAAUCAGCAGUCAGACAGAUUAAGUAGUAGUGCUGGUGUGUAGCAAUGGGGGACUGGAGUCUCCUUGGUAAUUUUCUGGAAGAAGUUCAGGAGCAUUCCACGACAGUGGGCAAGGUGUGGUUGACUGUGCUCUUCAUCUUCCGUAUCCUGGUCCUGGGCACGGCCGCGGAGUCAUCGUGGGGCGACGAGCAGUCUGACUUCAUGUGCGACACGCGACAACCUGGUUGCACCAAUGUCUGCUAUGAUCGAGCUUUCCCCAUUGCUCAUAUCCGUUACUGGGUGCUGCAGAUAGUCUUCGUGUCAACACCAUCCCUUAUCUACAUGGGCCAUGCCAUGCACACGGUCCACAUGGAAGAGAAACGGAGGCGGAGAGAGCAGGAGAUGGCCGAGGGAGAGAAUGAAGAGGGACGAGGAGAAAAGGAAUAUUUGAAGAGGAGAGAAAAAGCAGAUGAUACACCGCCAAAGAUCCACCUAAGGGGUGCUUUACUGAAAACGUACAUCUUAAGUAUUUUUUUACGCUUAGUCAUGGAAGUGACCUUCGUGGUGAUCCAAUACAUGCUGUAUGGAAUCUUCCUGGAUUCCCUGUACCAUUGCACCACGUCACCAUGCCCCAACCCUGUGAACUGUUACAUGUCACGGCCGACUGAGAAAAACGUCUUCAUAGUGUUCAUGUUGGUGGUGGCAAUUGUUUCACUGUUCCUCAGUGUGCUGGAGCUCUACCAUAUUGGCUGGAAGCAGUACAGGCAACGUCUUAGAAAGUAUACCGAUAACCAUGCAGGUAAAGGCCAUAGCAAAAAUAUCAAAGCUGUUUCUGUAGUCAAAACAACUAUUUCAAAAGAAAUGCCUGACACGACUCAACCAAGUCCAACCCAAACUUGUACCCCACCUCCGGAUUUCAACCAAUGCGUUGCGUCAAGCCAAGUACCAACAUCACCUCCACAUCUUCAUCACCACCACCACCAUCCUUAUCAUAUCCACCAAAGCUGCCAGCCCUUCACUAACCACUUGGCCCACCAGCAGAACUCUGUCAAUAUGGCCACAGAACGGCACCAUCAUAGUCAUGAUGACCUGGAACCUCGUGAGAAUUUUCUGCAGAUGAGCUUUGGAAGCCCUCUGCCCAGCGCCCCCUCCACGCCAUCACCACACCAAGACUUCUUCAAAGACAAGCGCCGGCUUAGCAAGGCCAGUGGCACUAGUAGUAACCGGGUCAGACCAGGAGAUCUAGCUGUUUAGGCUGGGUUAAAGAGUGUUCCAAGAGAAAGUGAAGUCAGUAUUUAGAGGAAAGAUGAAGGGGGUUUGAGUCUGCUUGUCUUUUGAGUGUUUCAUUGGCCAACUUCUCUGUAGAAGUGCUUAAAGAGCAGCAUGAAAUAUAAGACAAUGAGAGUGAGCAGGACAGAGAGAGAAUCUGUAUCAGAGCAUCUAAUCUGGUUUCAUUGAAACUUGUCAUUGUUAUUGAAUGUAGGGUGGGAUCAAGUGAUCUUGAGUAAAAGGCUCUUUAUAUGACAUAGAUAAAGAUUGAGUUAACUACUGGUAUAACCUUGGGUGCAUUUAUAAAAUAGUUUUGCAUAAUUUUGCUUUAUGACUUCUAGCCGUGUUGACUCAUCUUGCAUUGCACAGGAAUUUAACCAAAUGCUCUUCAGAAUGACAAUGCCCAUCACUACAAUACAACAAAGCAAAAAAUAAAUCAUGGUUAAUCCAUGAGGCCAAACUUAAACCUACCUACUACACUGAGAAAAGGGUCCAUGGGGCAGGUAAAAAAAAGAGUUCAUAUUAGGUACACAUUGGUACCAAAUAUCUGUAUCCAAGUGGUAUAUAUUAGUACCUGUUCAAAGGGUACUGACCCGGUGUACCUUGGGACCAUUUUUGAAAAUUUUUCGGACAGUGUAUUGACUUUUUAGAAAGGGACAAGCCUUUAAAUAUGUUCUUUUCAAAUGUAUUUUUUUAUAUGAAAUGCUGUAUAUGAACACAGUAUAAAAAAUGACUUAUUUAAGCAACUUCAUUGGGUCUUUAAAAAAUCUGUUUAAAAACACACUGCACUGAAGUCAAACAUUAUUGCUUCAUGUACUUGCAUUUACUGAACAGCUUUUCAAUAUUUUUAACGAUAAAAGCAGAUUUAAAUAAGAUAUUGAGGAUUAUGGUUUUAAGGUCAGAAUAAAAAAUGCACCAAUUAAAAGUGCCUUUGGAAUGACUAUAUCAGAACUAUCAACCAGAUCUCAUGAGAAAAAUUAACUAUUUUACAUGCUGGCAAAUUAUGUUGUAUGAAUUUGUACCAUGUAAAUCACAAAACAACCUAUGAUUAUCAGGAAAACGAAAGUAUAGCUCCAACUCAAGGCCAUGCCCAAACCCAACAUGAGGUAAGCCAAUCCUAUUAAAGGUGCAGUGUGUAAAUUUUAGCGGCAUCUAGUGGUGAGGUUGUGAAGUGCAACCAACAGCUCAGUCCACUGCUCACCCCUCACUUUUGAAACACAUAGAAAAGCUACGGUAGCCGCCACCGGACAAACAUGUCAUCGUUGGAGACAAAAUGUUGUCUGUUAAGGACUUCUGUACAAACAUGGCGGCCUAAAAUGGCGACUUCCAUGUAAGGGGACCCUCGGUGCAUGUAGAUAAAAACGUCUCAUUCUAAGCUAAUAAACACACAACGGUUCAUUAUGAAAGGUCUUUAUACACCCCUGAUAAUAUAGUUUUGAAUAUUAUUUUGCAUUUCUGUCAAGAGAUCCUUUUAAAAAUUACACACUGCACCUUUAAAAUUUGUAGGAAUUAGCCACCUUGUAAGUUACAAAUUGCCAUUAGAUAAUGUUGUAAACACUUCCACAACAAAUCAAUUGUUUUAUAGCCUAGGUGAAGGUACAUAUCUGAAUGACCCUGACUACAAAAGUGCAAACAUGAAGUUAAAUAUUUAAAAUAUUUAAGAUAGACUAUGCAUUACAUGAUUUUCUCAUUAUUGGAAAACAGGGUUUGUUUUAUCAAAGCACUUUGAUGAAUAUCUGUUUAAAUGAUAUAGUAUCCUGUAAAUUAUUCCAGUAAUGUUUUUCAGUCUAGCACUCUAUCAUUCAGGUGAAUAGUACUUUGAAACAUUAUUUACACUGUUUGUCUGUAUUUAAUCUGUUGAUGUUGUCGUCCACCUUUUAUUAGAGGUUAUAUUAUGCAACAUAUAACCUUACACCAGUGUGUGAAUAUGGAUGUUAUAUUUAGAAACUAGAGUGAGGAUUUGGUCUGGAAAUCUUUGUCUGACAUUUUCAUCAUUGCAACGGAUGACAUCUCCGCUUUGUUUCAUUUUAUUUCUCACACGAUUGCACAGUGUCUCAUCUGACAAGAAUAUGAAAUAAAAAUAUGCAAACACAGUGUGUGACAUUUAUUUACGUUAUACUUUUAAUAAACCACGUGACAUCUGCAUACAGCUGCUCACGGAUCAUGGAACUGGCUGGAAGUGGAAAUCUCACUGCUACUACUUUAAACCAGUUGGUUUGUGUACAAGUUAUGCGUCACGAAAUCUGACAACCAGUGUGCAAAUGUGCUAAUGGCCAAAGAAACUACAUGUCCCAUAAUGCACCCCGCCGUCAGCCGGUGUAAUGUCAGACUGCACGAACGGAAUGAGUGCAAUUCAAAACCGGUGGUUUUAACUUCACGACUGAAACCUUCAG